GUCAGGGGCGCCGACGCAGGGAGGGGCCCUCCCGAGCCCCUUGCGCCCUCCCCCACCCGGGGCUCUCCUAGGCGCUCGAUUCCAAUGAAGCUCCCCCUCCCCCCCCCGCACGGACGCCCCGGAGCCCAGGCCCGGCCCGAUGCUCCCCACCCCCACCGGACUGGGGGACUCGGGGGGCCUCCCUCUCCGCCUCGCCACUGGGGGAAGGAAAGAGGCGGAGGGAGGAAGAGUGCAAGUUAGAAGCGGACGCCCCGCACGGGCCUCGCGAGGCGGCAGAGCCCCUUCCAGACGGAGCCACAGUGGACCGUGAUGCGGAGCUAAGACUAGCAGAACAACCGAGAAGGAGCCUGGGCCCUUAGCACUAUGGAUGGAGGGCCACAUCAACCCUUGAACUGAUGACGUCUGGGUUUCUUUUUGAUCCUUGUUGGGUUCUGACAAUAGGAGACACGGGAGGUUUCCUGGACAGCAGGAAGAGGAAGAAGGAAUCUGGAUGCUGUUUCCUGUUUGCCUUGCAGACCAGCCCCAGCUCAUCACAUUCCUUCAGAAACACCAGCAUCAGCUACAGUUGCCCACGGGAAGAGUCUUUCCAUUUGCCACACUGGAUGCCACACUGGAUGGGAUAAUCUAGGAGGGAGGAACUGUGGAGAUGGUGCACCUUGGGAUGUCCAGAAGACAGUGACCAGAAUUUCAAGAGAUGUUUUCAGAUUUCACAGUAUAAUAAGAGAAAAGGAGCCAAUCCCUUAAAUGAAGAACCUUCAAUCACUUCUCCCCAGGUGCACGUUUCAAUUUCAUUUCUUUUCAUCAACUCCUUCCCUUUGAUGAUGGGUUGCAUUGAAAACUAUUAAGAAAAGUAGGAUAUUUAAAAUGAACUGUGUUAAGAAGAGGAUCAUUUCAAAGAAUAGCCGUCUAUUCUGAGGAAGUCCCUUCAGCCAAUCAAAAAGCUAAAGAAACUGGAUAUAAUGUGAAUCUAGUGUAAAUUACCAUGAUGUCUCCCUCAACAUUCAUCAAGACUUCUGACUAGUCUACUUGAUCUGUGAAAAUGAGAUUACUUGAAGACCUGUCACAGAUUUUAAAGCAGAACAAGAUAUAUUGAUUAUACAAAUAUUUUUAUGUCACCCUAUAUCUUAAUAAAAUAACAUUUACGUCUGGA